UACGUAGGGUGCAAGCGUUGUCCGGAUUUAUUGGGCGUAAAGAGCGUGUAGGCGGCCGUACAGGUCAGCUGUGAAAACUCGAGGCUCAACCUCGAGACGUCGGUUGAAACCGUACGGCUAGAGUCCGGAAGAGGAGAGUGGAAUUCCCGGUGUAGCGGUGAAAUGCGCAGAUAUCGGGAGGAACACCGGUGGCGAAGGCGGUUCUCUGGGCCUUACCUGACGCUGAGGAGCGAAAGCGUGGGGAGCGAACAGG
rnacentral:rRNA from 1 species